UACGUAGGGGGCUAGCGUUGUCCGGAAUCAUUGGGCGUAAAGCGCGUGUAGGCGGCCCGGUAAGUCCGCUGUGAAAGUCGGGGGCUCAACCCUCGGAUGCCGGUGGAUACUGCCGGGCUAGAGUACGGAAGAGGCGAGUGGAAUUCCUGGUGUAGCGGUGAAAUGCGCAGAUAUCAGGAGGAACACCAAUUGCGAAGGCAGCUCGCUGGGACGUUACUGACGCUGAGACGCGAAAGCGUGGGGAGCAAACAGG
rnacentral:rRNA from 1 species